CAGCAACCUCAGUUUUUUCCUGGAGUCUCGCAUCCAGGCAUUUCUUUGUUGGAGUUUAGCAACUACUGUAAGGUCUGCCUGUGCUGGACUGUGAAGAACUAGGGAUGUGCUGCUGUGUUGCUGUUCCUCAGUCUGGUCACCCUCAGCACAGGGAGAGUGGUCAGGGUGAGAGGCCGAGGUCAGCCGAGGGGAUGACCAGUGAUGUCCUGAGGCUGUUCUCAGGCCGCGGAGAAGGAGAUGACCGUUUCCUGGUUGAUCGGCGCAGGACAGCAGACGCUAAGGACAGCCCUCCGUUAGUGCAGACACCUCCUGCAUGGACUCUUCCUUUCAUGUCUGCGUUCCUUCAGUCCCAUCCUUGAGGGCGAAAUCAGCUUCUUCUACAGUCACCAGGGUUGUGAAACCGCCAGGAAGGCGGCACGUCAGCAGUUUCCGUAGAAGCGAGGGGGGCCGCCAGGAAGCGCAGUUACAACCUUGGCCAGCAGGGGGAGUCUUUCAGUCAUGCAGCGGUUUUUCCAUCCGUCCUUCUAAAAUCUGAAAUCAAUUAUUAUUCCUGGGAAAGGUUGCAGCUGCUGGAGCUUAUCCCUGGGUUGGGUUGUUUUUAUUAUUAAAAGCAAUUAACCUGUCA